rnacentral:rRNA from 1 species
CCUACGGUAGGCAGCAGUGAGGAAUCUUGGUCAAUGGGCGCGAGCCUGCACCAGCCAAGUAGCGUGUAGGAUGACUGCCCUACGGGUUGUACACUUCUUUUAUAAAGGAAUAAAGUGAGGCACGUGUUCCUUUUUGUAUGUACUUUAUGCAUACGGAUGGUCUAACUCCGUGCCAGCAGCAGCGGUAAUACGGAGGAUCCGAGCGUUAUCCGGAGUUAUUGGUUUUACAGGGAGCGUAGAUGGGUUGUUAAGUCAGUUGUGAAAGUUUGCGGCGCAACCGUAAAAUUGCAAUUGAUAAUGGCAGUCUUGAGUACAGUUGAGGUAGUCGGAAGGCGUGGUGUAGCGUGGAAAUGCUUAGAGAUCACGAAGAACUCCGAUGGCGAAGGCAGCUUACUAAACUGCCACUGACAUUGAUGCUCGAAAGUGUGGGUAUCAAACAGGAUUAGAUACCCCUGUAGUC